rnacentral:rRNA from 1 species
UACAGAGGGUGCAAGCGUUAAUCGGAACUACUGGGCGUAAAGCGCACGUAGGCGGCGCAGCAAGUCAGGGGUGAAAUCCCGGGGCUCAACCUCGGAACUGCCCUUGAAACUGCAGUGCUAGAAUCUUGGAGAGGCGAGUGGAAUUCCGAGUGUAGAGGUGAAAUUCGUAGAUAUUCGGAAGAACACCAGUGGCGAAGGCGACUCGCUGGACAGGUAUUGACGCUGAGGUGCGAAAGCGUGGGGAGCAAACAGG